rnacentral:pre_miRNA from 15 species
AAAAACUUUGCUCCUACAAGAGUAAAAUGCAGGUGCUUUGCGACAGUGAGGAAAAUAAAGCCCAUACACUUUAACCCUUUAGGAGAGUUG